rnacentral:misc_RNA from 1 species
CCCUCCACUAUAUCAAAUCUUUUUACAUGUACUAACAUGUCCCUCUAGUGUCUAGACUAUAAAGAUGAAAAACCUACAUGAUUGCUCCUUUCAAGUGAAAGCUUUCCCAUCUCAUAACUGCCUGGGUUGUAGGCAGGAACUUCUUCAGUAGUUUCUGCCCUUUCAAGCUCCUGCAAAGCUCUCUUUGCAUAAACGGUGAAAGCAACGGUGGUAAUGAUAGCGAUAAUAAAGGAGAUGACAUUGUAUAUGAUUUCCAAAGUAGUCAAGUGAUAGUUCCCAUAUUGCACAUCAGCAAAUGUUCUUAUUAGCCGACCACUAUAGAUGUAGAUAAAAGCUUCUGGCACCAUUCCAGCAACUGAACCACAUAAAUAUGGCCAAAAUCUCAUACUUGUUACCACUAUUGCAUAGUUGAAAAUUGUAUAUGGAAAUGGUGAGACCCUAAAGAGCGCAACUACUCGAAAUUGAUGGAACCAACUGCCUUCACCAGCAAGUCUGAUCAUAGCAGCUUUCUGGGGCCAUCUCUUUAACCAUUGAUGGAUGCGGUCACGGAACAGUAGCCCUAUCAAAUAGGGCAAGAUCAUUCCAAUAGUAGUUCCAACCAUAAUUAUGACAAAUCCGAUACCAUAUCCAAAAAUCAUCCCAGCCAACCACAUGGAAGGUCCUGAAGGAAUUAAAAACACAGGGAACAAGGCCAGAGAAGCAA